rnacentral:rRNA from 1 species
AUGAAUGCUAUUUUUUGGAAUGUUAGGGGCAUUGCUACCCAAGGGAGAAAAACUCUCAUUGUAGAUACUAUUAGGAAAAGGUAGGCCUCUAUUCUGGGUUUUCAGGAAACCAAAAAAGAUGCAUUCUCUGAUUCCUACCUUAAAUCCUUAGAUGGUAGCAGAAAUUUCUUUUGGCACCACCUCCCAUCAAAAGGCUCUGCUGGGGGCAUUCUAAUGGGGGUGGAUGCAGAUAUUUUUGAGGUUAUUUUCUGGUCUCACCUUGAUUUCUCUGUUAGUUGUGUCCUUAAACUGAAAAGUAAUGGUACCACUUUUAGGGUCAUCACUGUGUAUGGCCCCCCCUAUGAAGAAGGAAAAGAGGCCUUCAUUUCAGAGCUUCAUUCUCUGUUCAUGGAGUGCCCCUACCCCACUCUGAUUGGUGGAGACUUUAACCCGAUUAGAUAUGCUAGAGAGAAAAGUAAUGGAGUGUUCAACCACAGAUGGUGUGACAACUUUAAUGCUUGGAUAGAAAUCUGGAGUUUGUUAGAGAUUAAACUGUCUAGCAGAAAAUACACCUGGGUCAACAACCAGGUGGACCUGAUAAUGUCCACAAUAGAUAGACUUUUCUGUAACACUGAGCUUGACAAGCUCUUUCCUCUAGCCUCCUGUAAUGCUUUACCCAGAUGUGGCAGUGACCAUGCCCUUAUUAUUUGGGAUUCUGGGAUUGAGCAGACACCUAGGAGUAGUAGUUAUAAGAUGGAACAAUGGUGGUUGAUUAGAGAGGACUUCUCCAAACUAGUUACUAAGAUUUGGAAUGAGCCCACCUCACGAACCACUCCCAUGGACAAUUGGCAAGAUAAAAUUAGGAAACUCAGGAGGGUGACUAAAGGUUGGAGCUCCAAUGAGGAGGCCCAACUUAGAGCAUCCCCAACAGGCAAAACGCGCGCCCGCGCGGUAAAAUCAGUUUUUCGCGCGCGCCGGUUGGUUCCGCGCGCUCCAGCGAUGGCGGGAAGUUACCGCGCACGGGAAGCGUUUGCGCGCGCGCGGUAG